rnacentral:sRNA from 1 species
UUUGUUUUUCACUUCAUCUUCUUCACCAUCCCUGCAAUUAAUUUUUCCUUUAUCUCCUCACCUUUUUCACAAAACCAACACAAAUCUCACACUCUCCUCAAAGAUUCCUUCAAUUCACCAAAAACCCUAAAUUUUCUCAUAUUUCAAUGGCGAUUUCAUCUCCUGCUGCUACUUCCUCCUCCUCAAAAUCCCUCAAUUGCUUCACUUCCCCAUCAAUCUAUAUCAUUUAACCAAAAUCCCUAACUCUUUCUUCGUCUUUCCCCCAGUCAAUCACAUCUCUCUCCAUCACCAUAACCAUAAAUGAUGAGAGUUGAAAAAUAAAAUCAAUUACUAGAGAUAAAAAAAAACCCGUGAAGAAGACGAAGUGAAUCAGAAAAAUAAA